rnacentral:rRNA from 1 species
ACGAUAGUCGGGAAAAACCUCUUGAGUUUGGUCCUCGUGGGUUUCGAAGAAGUUUUAAAAGCCUUCGGAUUCGCGGGAUUGGGAUCUCUUGGUGUACUUUUUCGUACGGUUAGUCAACAUCGGUUUUGAAUGUCAUAAAAUGACUGGAGGAAUGUAGCUUCGAUCUCGUAUUGAAGUGUUAUAGCCUUUGGUAGAUGUGAUGUUUGAGACCGAGGAUUGCAACGCAUACCCUUCAGGGCUAUUCGUCUGAUCUCUGAUACGUUGCCCUGAUGUUGAAAGCUUGCUUAUGAUGUUAGGGUAUUACGGUCAAAAGGUUAGAACGAAUUACAUUCGUUAAGAGGUUUGGACGUAAUACUCCCCACAUCAUCAGCAGGCUGUUUCAACAUCGGGCAACGUAUCAGAGAUCAGACCAAUAGCCCUGAGGGUAUGCGUUGCAAUCCUAGGUCUCAACAUCAAUCUCCAGAGGCUAUAAACUUCAUACGAGAGCGAAGCUACUUUCUUCAGUCAUUUCAUGACAUCAAAACAGAUUUGGACUAGCAUACGAAAAAGUACACCAGGAGCUUCCAAUCGCGAUCAACGCUUUACACUCUGCGAACCGACGAGACCGAACUCAGAUGAUUUCCGAUGUAGGACUGACUUCCCUCGUUCUCUAAUCAA